CAACGUAUGAGGAAGCUCCAUCCUUAACGUCAACAGAACCUUUUUGGUUUGAUAAAACAAGUUGUAUCAAAUGUAUGUAUAUACGUUUCUUCAGUCAGUGGUCAACCAGUUGUUUUGGAAAAUAGCCCUCUGAGCUUACCUCUGCUUCUUUUAUCUCUUCUUCGACCGCCUUGAUACCAAAUAUUUGCAGGAGGAAGGAACAGAGCGGGUUGCGAUAACCCUCCAGUCGGCUCCCCCUCCUCUCUGCAUUUACAACAGAUGCAGAGGGGAGGGGGGAGCAGGCCUGCUCUGACGAUGGCUGUACACAGUCAGUGACUGACUGCUCAUAUGAACACAGAGCACUCACACACAGAGCCUCUUACAGAGUGGACCUCGUCUUCUCCUGUGUUCUCUGUUAUUAGUGCUGAGGAAAUACACAAAUACCAAAAGCGUAUAUCUUCAACGAAAGCUUCGGGUUUGUUUCUUUGGUUUUCUUUCAUCAAGUGGUAAGCUCUUUGACGCAACGAAAGACCACCACCGACUGACGGGAUGGCGUUUUGCAAGGUUAUCACGGUCACCAGUUAUCUUCUAUUGGUAUCCUACGGGAUAGGGCUGGCUCAGAAGCAUACAAUACCUGAGUGCAAACGUUCACUUAAAGAACAGCAAGAAGCAGGAGAUGUUGAUUCAUCUGAUCUGGAACAUUAUCUCAAGCUGGCAACCUAUGGAAUGUAUAAAUCUGUAAUCAAGAACAGGGCCUUCUCCAAGGGCAAAGGGAACCCUGGGCACAAGGGUUACGUUGAAGCGGACCACAUCCCACCCCUGGACUCCCUGAAUAGGGCUAAGAAAGAGCCUGAUUUUCAGGAGCUGGAAAGGAUAAAUCCGGCCCUUUAUGAUAUGGUGAUGAGCCUGGAGAACGAUCCGCGGGGGAUGAAACUCUUCGCCAUCCAGGUCACCAAACACCACCACGGGGCCGCUCUGUCCACCGGCAUCAGUAGAGAGUCUCAGGCCGUCAGGGGUGUUCUCGCACGUAGAAUUGCAAGAGGAGAAGCGGUGCCAAUGUUGAAGCAAGCCAUGAUGAUCGCCCACCCAUUUGUUUCCCAGAGUAUGAGAGACGAAGCAGAAAUAUCGAGACGUCCCCCUGAAAACAAAUGCUCACUUUCAGAAGCUAGAACGACGAAAAUCUACAAAAAGGGCUUUCUGGGAUUGAUCGAUUUUAACUACAAUGGACCAAAAGUCAUCACUGAGGAAGAGAGGGAUGAGCUGAAGGAUUAUGUCAGUCAACAUUAUGACCUAGGUGGAAACUUUGACAAAGAUUCCAUAGAAUACCAAGAGAUCCUUGAAACUGUGAAAAGAUUCACUCCCGAGACAAAUUCACUACCGAGACAAAAAGGGAUUAAAAAAAUAACAAAAAGGGUUGGAAAACACACCAUCAAAAAACAAAACAGGCAUGUGUUUCCGCGUUUAGCAAGGGUUUCGCAAGUACGUCCACACCAGAAGCGACCAAAGCGUCAAAGACGCUUUGGUCGCUCAUAAAGUUUCGCUGCGAAUAUUUCUGUUCGCUUUGUUCGCUCAUGACGUACAAUUCAAUUUUGCAGACGCAUUUAAAGGAGCCGUAUGCUUUUAGUACAGACAGCCAUAUCAAAGAGUGAACUCCCAUAUGGAGUUAGAAUCAUGCCAAAACCCCGCACACACGCAAAACGUGUAGUGGGCACGAGGCGUAACGAUUCACACGCACACAAAACGUGUUUUACUCACGCACAAUGAUUCACACACACGCUCAGUGUGGUUUGCAAAUACAAAACAUCAUUCACAAACUAAUGCAUUUUGCUUCAGAAAAAAAUACAGUAUGUUUUACAGUGAAGUACAAAAAAAAAUCCUUCAAGUAGGCCUACACAAAACAAUUCUACAAGUACGGAACACUGAAAGCUGGGCGUGGAUCGGAAGGCAUUUGCGCACGGAUCAGCAAGGCGGAAAAUUAGUGCCAAAAGUCACGUGACAAACAAAUGUCCUUUGAUUCACACUACACAACAACAAUUGGCGCUGUUGAGUCAGUUUAAGGCCGCAAGGACGAUCUUUUUUUCUCCCCAAAAUUUUUAUUUGAUGCCGGCCAGUGGUAGAUAAAAGUGCUAAACCGUACGGAAACCGUACGGAAUCCGUGCGGUCUGGCAGGAACAGCGUCUCAUUGAAGCCAUUAUAGAAUCAAAAAAAUAGUGGGUCUUUCUCGAAUUUAGCUUUGGAACUUAUCGGUUGUUGACCAGAAAAGAUUGUUAGUUGCCAUCAAAGUAUAAUGAUAAUUGCUUUUUACCAAACUGAAGAUGUGUGUGUGACAAUGACAAAGUUGGCCUACUUUAAUCUAAAAAUGUUAACAUUUUUCACCAUGAAGUCUAAAAGGAAGCUUGUAUGGCCCUUUCCUUUAUUGUAUCUUUGUGCAAUACAUGUUCAAUUAUGUAUUAAAUCUACGAUGGCAUUUCACCGCUUUCAACUACUUGGCAAGUUAUAAGCUUUAGCUAUAUUUAUUUAGUAUGCUACACGUGAACCUCCUAAGAUGGCGCAAUUUGAUUGGUUUGCUACCUUGGGAUAUUGGGCAAUAUCCCAUAAUUGAGAUCUCAAACGUAAGAUAUUGUUUUCAUCGCAAAAUGUCUGUCUCGUCACGCUAAUAAAAACAAAUAAAUCCUGGCAAAAAGUGUUAUCUUGUUUAUUUUUGGGCUAUUCAGUAUUUGCACUAUUCACUUCUCCUUCGGCGAAUAAUUGUUAAAUAUUCAGAGCGAUAUUUUAC
ensembl:lncRNA